CGUUAAUUAACAUGCCAAUUCCGAGCACCACACCUAACAGUGGCCAAUAUUCAUAUACAUCCUGUUUCUUAUAAAAUCAUGACUUUGUAUGUUAUCAACAAGACUUGUUUUAUUAAUACGCAAUUCUCUCAGAAAUUUCACAUUCCAUUUCCACUAGGACCGUACAUAUCGUGGCAUCAACAGGGGCAACUGCUCCCCACCCCCGGCGAGAAAAUUUAACUAUUUUUAUAUUGAUCAGGUUAUUAUUCAGCCAAUUUAGUGGUGCUAAAAAAGGCGCUUAUCGUAAAUGGCGCUUGUAAUCUCAGGGGAAACAAAAAAGUUACAUUAUUAACACAUUUUGAAAAGACUUUUUUCCCUGUGCUAGUGCAAUGUACUCAGGUGAAUAUGAUGCCUGGCCACGUUCUUUUUAGCCACAGACCGCCGUGGCUAAAGAGUAUAGUGAAAUCUGAUAUAUUUUUUAGCCACAGACCACCGUGGCUAAAAGUAUAGUGAAAUCUGAUAUAUAUUUAGCCACAGACCGCUGUGGCUAAAAAGUAUACUGAAAUCUGGUAUACUUUUUAGCCACAGACUGCCGUGGCUAAAAGUAUAGUGAAAUCUGAUAUACUUUUUAACCACAGAAAAAUCUGACAUCAGUGAAAUCUGAUAUUAAGUCGGCCGGCCAAGAUGGCAAAAGGUGCCUCUAAAGAGAGUUUGAUGGCAACUUUAUGUUACAAGCUGGUAACAGGCAUUUUCUUAUAGUUCAAGCCUUGGUGAUUAAGACUGUGUGUGUUACCACUUCUGAUUUUUGCUUUAUAGCCAAGAAUUUGAGAAUUUUAAAAUUUUGCCUAUGUUCUUCCUUUAAUCAAUUUUAGCCUAAUUAUAAUUGCCCAACAUUUGUCUAGCCGUUUUUUCAAGCCACGUUUAGUAAUUUAUGUCUUCUUCCUUUAGGCUCAGUUUAUGUUAUGAUGCUACAACGAGCGUGUUGAAAUCAUUUGACGAAUACUCAAAUUUCAACGUUACGGAUUAAUAAAACGACUUCUUGAUGGUAAGGCUUUUCCG